GCUACGGCCAUACCAGCCUGGGUACGCCCGAUCUCGUUUGAUCUCGGAAGCUAAGCAGGGUCGGGCCUGGUUAGUACUUGGAUGGGAGACCGCCUGGGAAUACCAGGUGCUGUAAGCA
rnacentral:rRNA from 1 species